CCCGCCACUAUAACAGUCUGCUGCGUGACUGCGUAUAAUCCAGUGGUGAGCUGAGAAGAAACCCCUUCUUAGGAAACAGGCUUAUUCUGCUUGUGAAUGAUUCUGUGCCGAAAGACUGGGGACAAGA